GACGAACGCUGGCGGCGUGCUUAACACAUGCAAGUCGAACGGAAAGGCCCUGCUUUUGUGGGGUGCUCGAGUGGCGAACGGGUGAGUAACACGUGAGUAACCUGCCCUUGACUUUGGGAUAACUUCAGGAAACUGGGGCUCAUACCGGAUAGGAGCUCCUGCUGCAUGGUGGGGGUUGGAAAGUUUCGGCGGUUGGGGAUGGACUCGCGGCUUAUCAGCAUGUUGGUGGGGUAGUGGAAUACCAAGGCUUUGACGGGUGGCCGGGCUGAGAGGGUGACCGGCCACAUUGGGACUGAGAUGCGACCCAGACUCCUACGGGAGGCAGCAGUGGGGAAGGUUGCACAAUGGGCGGAAGCCUGAUGCAGCAACGCCGCGUGCGGGAUGACGGCCUUCGGGUUGUAAAGCGCUUUCGCCUGUGACGAAGCGUGAGUGACGGUAAUGGGUAAAGAAGCACCGGCUAACUACGUG
rnacentral:rRNA from 1 species